rnacentral:pre_miRNA from 1 species
AGCUUUUCAAAUCCGUGCUGAGAUUUCGUCAGACACCAACCCAUUGGAGUUAAUCAGACGUCCAAGAUAAGUGAAGUU